rnacentral:rRNA from 1 species
GACAGAGGCCCCGAGCGUUAGGCGGAAUCACUGGGCUUAAAGCGCGUGUAGGCGGCCCGGUAAGUCCGCUGUGAAAGUCGGGGGCUCAACCCUCGGAUGCCGGUGGAUACUGUCGGGCUAGAGUGCGGGAGAGGCGAGUGGAAUUCCUGGUGUAGCGGUGAAAUGCGCAGAUAUCAGGAGGAACACCUAUUGCGAAGGCAGCUCGCUGGGACGUAACUGACGCUGAGACGCGAAAGCGUGGGGAGCAAACAGG